rfam:Trichomalopsis sarcophagae strain Alberta scaffold6471, whole genome shotgun sequence.
UAAACGGCCCUUUUCAGGGCCACCAAUAUAUUUUAACGUAGCAAC